UAACGGCCAUACCAUGCUGAAUAUCCGGUUCGUUAGAUCACCGAAGUAUGAAGCAUCAUGUGGGCGGGGUCAGUACUUGGGUGGGUGACCACCUGGGAACACCGCGUGCAGU
rnacentral:rRNA from 1 species